GACGAACGCUGGCGGCGUGCUUAACACAUGCAAGUCGAACGGAAAGGCCCUGCUUGCCGGGUGCUCGAGUGGCGAACGGGUGAGUAACACGUGGGUGAUCUGCCCCUUACUUUGGGAUAAGCCUGGGAAACUGGGUCUAAUACUGGAUAGGACCAUGCUGUAGGUGGUGUGGUGGAAAGAUUAGUUUCGGUAAGGGAUGAGCUCGCGGCCUAUCAGCUUGUUGGUGGGGUAAUGGCCUACCAAGGCGUCGACGGGUAGCCGGCCUGAGAGGGUGGACGGCCACAUUGGGACUGCGAUACGGCCCAGACGCCUGCGGGAGGCAGCAGUGGGGAAUAUUGCACAAUGGGCGCAAGCCUGAUGCAGCGACGCCGCGUGGGGGAUGACGGCCUUCGGGUUGUAAACUCCUUUCAGCCAUGACGAAGCCCUUGUGGUGACGGUAGUGGUAGAAGAAGCACCGGCUAACUACGUG
rnacentral:rRNA from 1 species